ACAAAUGAUUGGGGUGAAGUCGUAACAAGGUAGCCGUAUCGGAAGGUGCGGCUGGAUCACCUCCUUUCU
rnacentral:rRNA from 1 species